GUAUUUGUUUUAGACCGCCCCCCGACCGCGAGGUCGAACGACGAUCGUGAUACAUUCUAGACAUACGACGUGUGUGAUGAUUAAAGACAUAGAUCCUCUUUCGAGGACCUACAAUGUGUGCACAGGUGUGAGAGUAAGAGAAAGGUGGACGUGCACGGCCGAAGCCAGCGACAGUCCGCCUCCCCUCGAAGUUCGAUAAUGAUCCUUCCGCAGGUUCACCUACGGAAA
rnacentral:misc_RNA from 1 species